ensembl:lncRNA
GUAAAACGAAAAGCAGACAGUCGGCUAUAGCUAAGUAGCACCAGAGUCCACCACUAACUAAUUGUUUUUCUUCACUUUGCCACAAAGUGUCGGGUAUGUGGUGGCUUGUUAUAAGGAACCAGAACACGGAUGUAUCAAGUCUCCCAGUUCCUGCCGCUGAAGAACAUCCCCACAGCAUGAUGCUGCCACCACGAUGCUUCACCAUAGGGAUGGUACGAGGCCCUCCCCUCUCCCCUGUGUCAUUGACGGCCAACCGGCGUACACGGUGAGGCGUCUCCUGAAAGUUCGACCACGGGGCAGGGGAUUCCAGUACCUGGUUGACUGGGAGGGUUCUGGCCUGGAGGAGAGGUGCUGGGUCCCCUCUAGGGACAUCCUGGACCCAACCCUCAUUGCUGAUUUCCAAUGCAGGCACCCCAGUCAAC